AAUAUCAAUGACAAUGUUACAUCAUAUUGUCACAGAGACAGCGUGUAAUGUUGUUGUUAAUAUUAUUAUGAAUAUGAAUAGGAAUAUGGUAUUAAUUCAUUGAUAUUGAUAUUAUUUUGAUUAAGACGAUGAGUAGAAUAUAUGGAAAUACGUACAAUUCUAAUAAAUACGUAUUUUGUUGUUUUUAUUGCAAACGAAAAUUGAGAUGUUAGGUGGUCAUCGGUUGGCGAUUCUGUUUUGACAUCAAGUGAGCAUCCAGAAGUAUCAUAUCAUACAACAUAAAUUAGAAAAACAGCCGACCGAUUCGUCACCGGAACCGUGUCCCCGCCGGUAGAGUGCACAGCGGACGUAGGUUUCAGACGUUAGUGCGUGCAGAGUGCGCCACUCGCCAGCGAUGUCAGUGUGGCAGAGCGAGGAGGCGCGCUGCGCGGUGGUGCUGCGCGAGGUGCUGGCGUGGCUGGCGGGCGCGGAGCUGGCGCGGGCGGGCGCCGUGUGCCGCGCCUGGGCGCGCGCCGCCAGCGACCCCGCGCUGUGGCGCCGCCUGCUGCUGCGGGACGCGCUGCUGCCGCUGCCGCGCGUCCCCGGCGCGCGCUGGCGGCACGAGUACGUGCGCGCGCACGCGGGCUGGCGGCUGGGGGCGCGCCACGCCGCGGGCGCCAGCCUGCUGCACGCCGCGCUGGCCUGGGGGCGCGGGGGCGCGCGCCUGGCGCUGGGCUGCGACGACGCCAGCGUGGCCGUGUGGGCGCGCGGGCCGCGCGGCUGGGAGGAGCGGGGCGCGCGGCGCUGCGGGGGCGCGGCUGGGCCGCCGUGGCGCGCGUGCAGUGGCCGGCGGUGGGCGCCGCUCGUCUCCUGGUGGCGGGUCCGCUGGCGCUAGUGGAUGACUGGGAGUUGCUCGUGCUCUCUGUUGAAGAGGACGGUGCGUUGGGCGCUGUGGCCAGCCGCGUCCGCUGCAGCGCGGGCGCCGCGGGCUGCUGGGCCGACCCGCUCGGACACACCUUCUGCUCGCUGGAGCUGCGCCGCCUCGGGCCCGGCCUGUACUGCACCACCGUCUGGCUCAACACUGCCACGCAGGAAACGGAAUCUGAAUAUGAAGGAGUGACAUCACCAUUGCUGAGAAUUUUCAACGAAGAAGGCCAGCAUUUGACGCACGCGGCCGUGGCGCGCGCCGAGCCGCGCCUGCUGCUGGCGGGCGGCGGCCGGCGCCUGGCCGCGUGGCGCGUGUGGGCGCCGCGCCCCGCGCGCCUCGAGGCCAGCGCGGCCGGCGACCUGGCGGCGCGCGUGCGGCGCCUGCGCGCGCUGCGGGCCGCGCCCGCGCCCGAGGAGCCCGAGCCGGACGAGGAGACCGUGCGCGCGGCGUGCGCCCCCGCCGUGGCCUGCUGCCGCCUGCCGGCGCCGCUCGUGGGCCUGGCGCUGGACGAGCGGUCAGUUCUGACUACUUACUCGUAUCACUGGGGCAGUGCGUGUGGGCGGCGUGCAGUGACGGCGGCGCGGCCUGCGUGUCGCUGGCGCUGCAGCCGCUGGUGUACGUGCGCGGCGCGCUGGGCCCCGCGCCCCCGCUCGCCCCCGCGCCUCCGCCCCCGCCCGCCGCGCACUACAUGCAGCCUGCGGCGGCUGAGCACCUCGCUGCAUGGUCGCUGGGCCCGUACAGCGCGGCGGUGCGCGUGUGUGCGACGCGGACGUGCGCGGGGAGCGCGGUGCUGACGCACGCGGCGCCCGCCGUGUGCUGCGUGCUGGCGGCGGCGGACGGCGCGGACGGCGCGGCCGACUUGUCGCCCGACGGGUCUCGCGAUGGGUCUACCGACUCGUUGCCCGACUUGCUGGUUUUGGCCGGCGAUGAAGUCUACUAUCAAACAAAUACAAAACCGAGUGGCCGCGGGACACAUCGCGAGGGCCGCGCCAGUGGCCGGGCCGCAGUACUGUACACACACGACAUGGCGCUACUCGUCCCACUGCGGGCGGCGCGCGCGACCCUCGGCGCGGGGCGCGAGGCUAUAGGCGCGGGGUGCGAGGCGCUGGGCGCGGGGCGCGCGCGCGGCAGCCUGGCGGCCGGCGGCGGCUCGUGCGGCGGGCGCGAGGUGCCGGUGUGCGCGCCCUGCGCCGCGUCCCGGCCGCCCGCGUGCCGCGGGGACUCGCUCGCCCCCCGCACCGCGCAGCGCGUCGUGUGCUGCCCGCCCCCGCAGGGCCAGCGGCCGCCGUGCGCGCCGCGCGACCCGCCGUGCUCGCUCUCCUGCCUCGAUGCAGUCGACCAGAAUCCGGAAUCUUCAAAACGACCGAAUCAUAUAGAUCCAUGUCGAGACACGUUCAACAUUGGCGGAUGUGACCAAGACCCUGUUGCGCUAAGACUGAGGCUCGCUAAAUGCGUGCAGGAAGCUGCGUAUUGGCAGGAGGUAGCAGAGCGCGCGUGCCGCGAGCCGCCGCGAGCCCCGCGCGCCGACUACUGCCUGCACGGCCAGCAGGAGUGCGCGCGCGCCACGGACGGCUGCACGUACGCCGUGCUGCCGCCCAGCGAGUGCGCGCCUGCGCCCCCGCGCUGUGGCCCCGGGCGCACGCCGCCGCCGCCGCGCUGCGUGGAGCUGGCGCCUGACGACGCUUGCCGUAUCCGUGACGACGCGCACCUCGACCCGUGCGCGCACCGCCCGCGCAUUAUGAUAGAGAUCGACCGCGGUGCCAGCGCCGCGUGCCCCCCGCCCGGCACCGUGUGCCCGCCGCCCGGCACGGUGUGCCCGCCGCCCGGCACCAACCGCCCCCCGCCCGGCACCGUGUGCCCCCCGCCCGGCACCGUGUGCCCCCCGCCCGGCACCAAGCCCCUCCCGCCCGGCACCGUGUGCCCACCGCCCGGCACCGUGUGCCCCCCGCCCGGCACCGUGUGCCCGCCGCCCGGCACCAACCGCCCCCCGCCCGGCACCGUGUGCCCGCCGCCCGGCACCAACCGCCCCCCGCCCGGCACCGUGUGCCCCCCGCCCGGCACCGUGUGCCCGCCGCCCGGUACUGUGUGCCCGCCGCCCGGCACCGUGUGCCCCCCGCCCGGCACCGUGUGCCCCCCGCCCGGCACCGUGUGCCCUCCGCCCGGCACCAACCGCCCCCGCCCGGCACCGUGCCCGCCCGGCACCGUGUGCCCGCCGCCCGGCACCAACCGCCCCCCGCCCGGCACCGUGUGCCCGCCGCCCGGCACCAACCGCCCCCCGCCCGGCACCGUGUGCCCCCCGCCCGCUAGUGGCUGCGAGGACCCUGUACCGAGGUGGUGUGCCAACCCGCCCCCGCUAGCUCCUGCGCCGCCUCGAUGUCGCCGGCCUUCAAUUUUGGAAAGACUUCGGGCUCGUCCUCCGGAAUCUCCCAAUGAAAGACGAAUUCAUACAUCAAUAAUAUUGUCUAAAGCAAAGAACUGUUCUAAAUCUAAAACUACUGCAGGUGGCUUACAAAAUAUGCUCCGUUCAAAGCAACAGCUAAACGAAGCCGGGCUCGGGCGCGUUGUGGUUUGUAAUGAAGCAGGGCGUAGCGAGCAGAAGGCUCCCGGCGGCAGGCUGGAGCUGAGCGUGCCGGCGGGGACGCGGCGCGUGGCAGUGUUGGUGUCGCUGGAGGGCGCCACUGGCGGCGCCUGCCCCCCACUGCCUGCGCCCCAGCUGUGUGCGCCACCCGCGGCACCCGUAUGCGAUAACAAACCUUCCUUCUGUACUAAAACUUCUACGACUUCUGCGAGACCGGAUUCUUGGCUUUCGAUAAAACAAAUUCAGAAAAAAUUGAACCGAUGCGGAGAGAGCUCCUCCGAUGUAAAAGCUAGCUCGCGCAGCCCCGGCCGCAGACACGGGACCAUGGCUCCGAGCGCGCCCCAGAAGCCGACCCCCCCCGCCACCCGCUGCUCCUCAACGUCGGCUCUCUUCGCAACCACUGUCGGAGUUGGCUCCGUCUAGAAUCGAAUACAGUCGUGUGUGUAUUAUUUUUUAAUAAAAUAAUUUUGCUUGAAGAA